rnacentral:rRNA from 1 species
GACGAACGCUGGCGGCGUGCCUAAUACAUGCAAGUCGAGCGAAGUUUUUCUGGUGCUUGCACUAGAAAAACUUAGCGGCGAACGGGUGAGUAACACGUAAAGAACCUGCCUCAUAGACUGGGACAACUAUUGGAAACGAUAGCUAAUACCGGAUAACAGUAUUUCUCGCAUGAGAGAUAUUUAAAAGUUGGUUAUGCUAACACUAUGAGAUGGCUUUGCGGUGCAUUAGCUAGUUGGUGGGGUAAAGGCCCACCAAGGCGACGAUGCAUAGCCGACCUGAGAGGGUGAUCGGCCACACUGGGACUGAGACACGGCCCAGACUCCUACGGGAGGCAGCAGUAGGGAAUCUUCCGCAAUGGGCGAAAGCCUGACGGAGCAACGCCGCGUGAGUGAAGAAGGAUUUCGGUUCGUAAAGCUCUGAUGUUAGGGAAGAAUGGAUAUGUAGUAACUAUACAUGUAAGAGACGGUACCUAACCAGAAAGCCACGGCUAACUACGU